CGGCGAAAGCAAACCAUGCGAUUAUCUGAGGACAGCGCCCAGCACACAAAUGCAUAACAAAUCAUUUUCAACCAGGGAGUUGCGACACGAAAGUCAGAAAUAGUAAUAUAAUAUAUGCCUUACCUUUGAAGAUCUUCUUCUGUUGGCACUCCAAAAGGUCCAAGUUACAUUACAAAUGGUCUUUUUGUUCAAUAAAGUCCUUCUUUAUAUCCAUAAAAACUCAGUUUAGCUGGUGAGCUUCAGUCAAUAAUCCACUCGGUUUCCCUCCUUCAAAAUGCAUACAAAAUGAAUCCCAAACGUUACCAAUAAACUUAUCCAAACAAGUCAAUCAAGGUUUAUAAUCAAUCCUUAGGUACCCUAAUAUGCAAAUAAACAAUACAAUUUAAGACGGAGAAUCGUUAUUGUCUUUACCGGAGAUAAACAAAAAGAAUGCGCUCUCUCGGCCAUGCGUUUGGAAACACUACAGCCAAAAUGGGAGCCACUUAGAAAAACUACAACUUCUCCCUCAUUUUUCCAAAAAACAGCCUGAAACUCUUUCUCAAGACUGUUGACAUCUAGUGGAAGCCCUAGGAACUGCAAUCGGGGACGAUUUCGCCCUAUUAUUAAAGUGCCAAUAUUUUUUUGUUGUUGAUUGUUUAUACUCAGGGUUUCGCCUGCCAUUUCAGUUCUGUUAUACUCACAGACAUUAUUUUAACAAUUUUAGAAACUUGAGAAUGUUUCUAUCCAAAUCUACCAAUUAUAUGCAUAUCCUAGCUUCUGGGCCUGAGUAGCAGGCAGUUUACUUUGGGCACGCUUUUCACCCAGACGUCAAAAUAUCGCUUAAGUGCAGACCUCAGGACCUCGGUUAAGACAGAAUGCGGCCUGCUGGGCAACAUGAGUUUAACACCCUUGAACUAGAUGUACAACAAAGCAGGAAAGCUCAAGGAACGGACAUGGUAUGUUAGGAAAGGUCAUGGUAUGUUAGGAACGGUCAUGAUAUGUUAGGAACGGUCAUGGUAUGUUAGGAACGGUCAUGGUAUGUUAGGAACGUCAAGAUAUGUUAGGAACGGACAUGGUAUGUUAGGAACGGUCAUGGUAUGUUAGGAACGGUCAUGGUAUGUUAGGAACGUCAAGAUAUGUUAGAACGGUCGUGGUAUGUUAGGAACGGUCAUGGUAUGUUAGGAACGGUCAUGGUAUGUUAGGAACGGUCAUGGUAUGUUAGGAACGGUCAUGGUAUGUUAGGAACGGUCAUGGUAUGUUAGGAACGGUCAUGGUAUGUUAGGAACGGGCAUGAUAUGUUAGGAACGGUCAUGAAAUGUUAGGAACGGUCAUGAUAUGUUAGGAACGGACAUGGUAUGUUAGGAACGGUCAUGAAAUGUUAGGAACGGUCAUGGUAUGUUAGGAACGGUCAUGGUAUGUUAGGAACGGUCAUGGUAUGUUAGGAACGGUCAUGGUAUGUUAGGAACGGUCAUGGUAUGAACGGUCAUGGUAUGUUAGGAACGGUCAUGGUAUGUUAGGAACGGUCAUGGUAUGUUAGGAACGGUCAUGGUAUGUUAGGAACGGUCAUGGUAUGUUAGGUCAUGGUAUGUUAGGAACGGUCAUGGUAUGUUAGGAACGGUCAUGGUAUGUUAGGAACGGACAUGGUAUGUUAGGAACGGUCAUGGUAUGUUAGGAACGGUCAUGGUAUGAUAGGUCAUGGUAUGAUAGGAACAGACAUGGUAUGUUAGGUCAUCAUAUGUUUCACCUUGCAGUAUAUUUAGUAUGCUUUGUGCAUACUGGCCAGUGUUGAACAGGGCUGACACGCACGCACGCACACACACACACACACACACACACGCCAAAGCAUGCGCACACACACAAACACACGCACACACAGAUGCGUGCCAAAGCAUACAGUAUAUACACACAGGAAAACACACACACACAGGAACAAACACACACUGCCGCCAACUCGUGAAUUCAUGAUGAGUCAGCCACCCUGAGCUAAACUUCACUGGCAGGGCUUGAAACAAUGUCACCAGGAUAAGCCUGUCAGUUUAAAGUUAGACUCCACACUUUUAAAAAAAAAACAUGUGAAAAUCGUAUUUGUUUAAUCAAUUUUCCUGAUUUUGCUAAUUGUUACUUUGGACAAAAUCAAAAUG
rnacentral:lncRNA from 1 species